rnacentral:lncRNA from 1 species
GACCACCCAUGCAGCUUGCUUGGGAAUAUUGACUGUACUAAUUUCUGCUUGCUUUAUGUAGUAGCAAUGAACCCAACGAACCCAUAGACAGUCCUUCUUCCUCGCAAUAUCCCAAAGUAACUUUGUGACUGCUGCUUUAUUCCAGAUGGUUAGGUUCAUGAUGUUUAGGCCUCCAACAUUUAGCGGUCUGCAAAUUUUGUCCCAUGCAACUAGAGCUCUUCUUGAUACAGCAGCAGCUCCUGUCCAUAGAAAGGUUCGACAGAUUGUAUCUAUAACUUUGAGCACUUUCUUUGGAAGAAUGAAAAUUUGCGACCAGUAGGAUUGUAUGCCGAAAAUGAUAGCCUUGAUCAAUUGACAUCUACCAGCAUAUGACAGGAGUUUAGCAGACCAGCAGGUGAUCCUAGCUGUGAUUUUCUCAACCAGAGGCAGAUACUGAUGGAAGGGCAGCUUUUUGGAAUCUAGGGGAAUGCCCAGGUAUUUGAAGGGUAGAGUACCUUCACUGAAGCCCAUAGUUUCAAUCAGCUCGGUCUUAGCCUCGAAGGGAACCCCUGCAAGGUA